ensembl:lncRNA
CUCCUUGAUGCCAGUAGAAUUUCUCUUCGGGGAUCACAUCAGACAUAAAGUAAUAUUUUUAUAUUACACAUCCUAUCUUUUAAAAGGAGUUUUCCCUGUUCUCCAAACCAAACAGUUUUUGCCGAAUCAAGUCUCCUUGUUUCAGUUCUUCAACUCUGAACAGUAGGAGCUAUGAUCUCUUCCCAGUUCCUCAGUCAAAUGUAUCUGAGAUUAUUUCAGUGCUGAACGAAACCCCAGGCAUGAGCUGAAGACAUCUUCUCCUUUCUCCAUUGUCUAUUAAUGGAGGAAAACUCACCGUGGGAUGCAGCAGGUGAAGGAGUUCACCUCCCCUUCAUCUACAUCUUCAGUCUGUAGCAGCUGCAGAGCAGUUCUUGACAUGCUCUAUCGUACUGCCAGAUUACAUUUAGGCUAAGACAUUCCAUUAUGUAGUUUAGGUAAUGUAAAUUUAUUUUCUUUGGAAAAAAAU